rnacentral:rRNA from 1 species
GAUGAACGCUAGCGGCAGGCUUAACACAUGCAAGUCGAGGGGCGAGCACGGGUAGCAAUACCUGGUGGCGACCGGCGCAAGGGUGCGUAACGCGUGAGCAACAUGCCCUAUACAGGGGGAUAAUCCAGGGAAACUUGGUCUAAUAUCCCAUAGUAUUUAGAGGAGGCAUCUUCUAUAAAUUUAAAGCUUCGGUGGUAUAGGAUUGGCUCGCGUGACAUUAGCUAGAUGGUGAGGUAACGGCUCACCAUGGCAAUGAUGUCUAGGGGUUCUGAGAGGAAGGCCCCCCCACACUGGGACUGAGACACGGCCCAGACUCCUACGGGAGGCAGCAGUGAGGAAUAUUGGACAAUGGAUGGAAAUCUGAUCCAGCCAUGCCGCGUGCAGGAAGACAGCCCUAUGGGUUGUAAACUGCUUUUAUAUGGGAGCAAUAACGGUCUACGUGUAGACUGAUGAGAGUACCAGUAUGAAUAAGC